AGUGAACGCUGGCGGCAGGCCUAAUACAUGCAAGUCGAACGGCAGCACAGCAGAACUUGCUCUGUGGGUGGCGAGUGGCGGACGGGUGAGGAAUACGUGGGAAUCUGCCCAGUCGUGGGGGGAUAACGUAGGGAAACUUACGCUAAUACCGCAUGCGCCCUUCGGGGAAAGCCGGGGACCUUCGGGCCUGGCGCGAUUGGAUGAGUCUACGUCGGAUUAGCUAGUUGGCGGGGUAAAGGCCCACCAAGGCGACGAUCCGUAGCUGGUCUGAGAGGAUGAUCAGCCACACUGGAACUGAGACACGGUCCAGACUCCUACGGGAGGCAGCAGUAGGGAAUAUUGGACAAUGGGCGCAAGCCUGAUCCAGCCAUGCCGCGUGAGUGAAGAAGGCCCUCGGGUUGUAAAGCUCUUUUGUCCGGAAGAAAAGCGCCGGGUUAAUACCCUGGUGUCCUGACGGUACCGGAAGAAUAAGCACCGGCUAACUUCGUGCCAGCAGCCGCGGUAAAGUAUCG
rnacentral:rRNA from 1 species